GCAAGUCGAGGGGCAUCAUGAGGUAGCAAUACCUUGAUGGCGACCGGCGCACGGGUGAGUAACGCGUAUGCAACCUGCCCGAUACCGGGGUAUAGCCCAUGGAAACGUGGAUUAACACCCCAUAGUACUUUUAUCCCGCAUGGGAUGUGAGUUAAAUGUUCAAGGUAUCGGAUGGGCAUGCGUCCUAUUAGUUAGUUGGCGGGGUAACAGCCCACCAAGACGAUGAUAGGUAGGGGUUCUGAGAGGAAGGUCCCCCACAUUGGAACUGAGACACGGUCCAAACUCCUACGGGAGGCAGCAGUGAGGAAUAUUGGUCAAUGGACGUAAGUCUGAACCAGCCAAGUCGCGUGAGGGAAGACUGCCCUAUGGGUUGUAAACCUCUUUUAUAAGGGAAGAAUAAGUUUUACGUGUAGAAUGAUGCCUGUACCUUAUGAAUAAGCAUCGGCUAACUCCGUGCCAGCAGCCGCGGUAAUACGGAGGAUGCGAGCGUUAUCCGGAUUUAUUGGGUUUAAAGGGUGCGUAGGCGGUUUAUUAAGUUAGUGGUUAAAUAUUUGAGCUAAACUCAAUUGUGCCAUUAAUACUGGUAAACUGGAGUACAGACGAGGUAGGCGGAAUAAGUUAAGUAGCGGUGAAAUGCAUAGAUAUAACUUAGAACUCCGAUAGCGAAGGCAGCUUACCAGACUGUAACUGACGCUGAAGCACGAGAGCGUGGGUAGCGAACAGGAUUAGAUACCCUGGUAGUCCACGCCGUAAACGAUGCUCACUGGUUCUGUGCGAUAUAUU
rnacentral:rRNA from 1 species